AGAGGGAAAGGUUAUUCAGUGCUAAUUAGGGUUAGUUAGGCAAGGAUAACCUAACCUAACCUAACUUAACCUAGUCUAGCUUAACCUAACCUAACCUAACCUACAUGAAGACAGUAUAGUUAUGAACACAAGAGGUAUAGGGAAAGGUUAUUAAGUGUUCAUUAGGGGUAGUUAGGCAAGGAUAACCUAACCUAACCUAACUUAACCUAGUCUAGCUUAACCUAACCUAACCUAACCUACAUGAAGACAGUAUAGUUAUGAACACAAGAGGUAUAGGGAAAGGUUGUUAAGUGCUCAUUAGGGGUAGUUAGGCAAGGAUAACCUAACCUAACCUAACCUAACCUACAUGAAGACAGUAUAGUUAUGAACACAAGAGGUAUUGGGAAAGAUUACUGGUAUUAAGUGCUCAUUAGGGGUAGUUAGGCAAGCAAAUACAAGUAAUAAGAACGAUAAGUGAAAACAUAAACACCACUACACUAUGCCCAGGGAGAAACAAUGAGUGCGUGAAUGUAUGCCGGCAG